rnacentral:ncRNA from 1 species
GUCUUCGGGGCAGGGUGCGAUUCCCUACCGGCGGUGAAAGUCCGCGAACCCGUCCGCAGGGCGGGCCGAUCCGGUGGAAUUCCGGAGCCGACAGUGACAGUCUGGAUGUGAGAAGGCG